GCGUGUUUGUUAUAAGGGUCUUUUUGGUAAGAGGAGAGAAAUGCUCGCUUCCCUCCGCCAAAAAGUCUUAAAACCUUCCCCUCCAAAAACUGCCUCAGGCCGGGAAAUGGGGCCGGGCUGGGCCGUCUCCAGGGCUCCUUCCUGCUCUUAAAGAGGCGAAGCGAGUUUCGCGGGAGCCUCCUGGGCCGCUUUCCCGGCGGGCCCCCCGACGAGAGGGCGUCCCCCGGACUCGGCGGCUUGUACCGUUCUGCCGGCCCGGGCACCAAGGCUGGCCCCAUGCGGGGAGCCGAGGCUCCCGGGGGGCUCCCCGGGGCCCGCAGCCUCAUCGCGCUCGCCCCCCGGCCGAGCCGCUGCAGCCAGGCAGAAAUUGGGGCGCGGCGGGUGCCUCGGGGAGGGCAGGCGGGCUGCGAAGGCAGGCCUCCCCGCCCCGGCCGCCCGCUCCCCCCGCCCUCUCUCCUCUCCGUUCCCUUUCCCCCUUUUCCUCCCCCCGCCCGGCUCCCGGCUUAGAAACCCCCAGCUCUCCUCCCUGUCACCCGAGCCUUCCCGGGCCGGGGGGGGGGCCGGGACGCACCCACGCCCUCCUCGGAGUGAGGCCGCCGAGGAGACGGCGGACGGGAGUUUCGCGGCACGAGCCCCCCCACUGCCGAGUCGGUUGGCCCUGGAGGCGGCCAGAGCUGGGGUCUAGGCGCCGGGGGGGCAGAGCCAUGGCCCUGGGCGGCGGCCUGCAGCCCGGACGGCGCGCUGGCGGCGAUCGCCGGCGGUCCGGCGGCCCUGCGGAGGAGGUGCCCGGCCGGGGCGCCCGAGCCCUGGAGCGCAGCCCCCUCCCCGGCCCGCUCUCUCUGGCCGCCUCGAUGGCGCCCCCGGCCCGUCUCCGCCUCCCGCCGCCGGCCCAGGACCCCUUCCUGCCUACCCUGGCCGGCUCCCCGGCUUCGGCCACUGCCCCGUCGGCGGCGCACGUCUGGGAGCUGGGAGCCGCCCGGCUGCUGCAGCGCUCCGACUCCCGAGCGUCGCCCCGCCGCGCCCCGCCGCCCCGCAGCCCCCAGGCCAGGCAGGCCCGAGCGGCCGCCGCCCCGCGAGCCAAGCUGUCCCUGCUGCUGCUGCGACCAUCCCCCGCCGCUCAGCCCGCCCUGGGGGGGGGGCCCCUGGCCAACAGCCUCCGAGAGGGGACAACCGGGGCCGGCUACUACAGCGAGAAGCGCAUCGCGGAGUGGAUCAAUCAGGUGAACCGCAGCCUCUUCGCUCCCUCGGGGGUCCUGGACCCUCCGGAACAGGACAAGUCCAUCGGAACGGCGCACGAGGACCCCGGGAGCCUCCCACUGCCCAGCCCUGGGGUCCGAGAAUGUCUGAGCCAGAAGGGGAGGAGCGCCACCCCCUCGUUCGACAGAAGGGGAAACUGAGGCCCAGAGAGAGACCAAGCUCGCCCGGCUCCUUGGUGGCAUUCGGGACACAAGCCACGGAUCCUUCCACUUCCCAUCUAACUUGGCCCCUCCUUCAUCCCAGGGUACGGAACACUCGAUGACCCUUUCUUCUUGCAAAGGGGGUUCUAACAGGUCAGGAGGCAGGGCCGAGGGAUUCUACCACAAAUCCCUGCUCUCUCUUUACCGCUGGAGGGGAGCGGGGCUUUCGGGAGACACUGGGAUCGGGGCCAGCAGUUCCUGCGGAGCCGGAGAAAUCCAGGGCCUGCUUUUGCUUCUGGUUUGGGGUUGGCUUGGGUGGGAACUUCCCGGGGGACACCACGAGGCUUUCCCAUGAUCCCACAGCCGGUGGGAAAGCAAAGGCUGUCCCCAAACCAGCUCUUUUACAGCCUACUUCAACUGGGCAUCCCAUCUUGUAUUUCCACGCGAAGGGGAGCUCUGCUAGCGAAGCAGCCCUUCUCUGACCUGCUAGGAUGCUCCAAGUCCUUCUAGUUGUCCCCGAGGCUGUGGCUUCCUCCAUCUCCCUGGGACUGGAAAGAUGCCCUCAGGAACCCAGCCUUAAUCCCUGGGUAAGCAGCAUGCCAGUCUGUGGGGGGGGCCCUGUUACUUUGGAGUUCAAUGGUCGCUGAAGCCGAGUUCUUGUUACCUGAGACUUCCCCAACCCUCUUCUGAACAAAGGCUGGAGUACCUGCAGACCCCAGGACGGCUGUUCUGUCUGGGAGGCGGAGGAACUUGGAUCCCAUCGAGCACCUCGCCUUCUCCCUCACUCCCGAUCGACAGAAAUUAUCGAUAUCUAAAGACCCGGUAUAAGACUGAUUCCUCCUCUUCAGAUCCCUGAAGUCCUCAUACUGACCUGUCUCUUCUCCAGACUCCUCAAGGGCGAGAUCUCCUAAUUUUGGGCAGUGAGUGGAGUCAACUGUUAGCCACAAUCUGAGAGCUCUCACCUCCCCCCCCCCCCAUAGAGUUUCUUAUCUGCCCGCCUCCUGGCGACCACCAUUGCUAGGUGACUCUCAGGAAAGUAUCGGGGUCUCCUAGCUCUGGAAGUCUGUACUUGUAACACCCCUGACUCUGGACUGUCAGACAGGCCCCAGAGGCUCACUGCCAGCAGACACAGAAUUCUACCCUCUGGGGAACUGCGUUUGAGAAGCCCCCUCCUCUCUCCCUGGGCUUCUAAGAUCUCAAACCUCAGCUCAGCAAAAUGAAGGGACCAGGAAGAGCCAGAAGCUUGUGGAUUAAUCUUGGGUGACGGGGAGUGGGUAGGGAACCUGCCUUGUUUUGCAGUAGGGGUUGUUGGGGAAUUUCUCAGCCCAGAAAUCCUAAGAUCCUCCUAAAGAGUAAUUAUUCUUGCCAACAUCUUUUUGAAUGGAGAUCAAUAAACCAAGAAGCAAAGCUAGAAGAUUAAAAUGGUAUUAUGAGCUGAUUGAUAGCUGCCAGUAAAUUAUCCAGCAGGAUUUGACAUGGCCUUGGGGCAGAUGGCAAGAACCACCUUUUCCUUAUUUGUGGGAUGGAGUAGGAAAGCAGGUCUGGUGCUUGGGAAAGGGAGAAGGUUUUAAGUCUGAGGUCAUAGUCAUAUUGCCUAAGAUUUAGUCUGUUUAGGGUGGGGAUGGGGGGACACGGUUUCUAGUAGUAAAUCUCAUCCGUGGAGGAGAAGAUCUCCAUAAUUUCAUCAGAUAUAAGAUCAGAUGGAAUAAUAACUAGGUGGGUUUUGUUAUUAUUGUUCAAGGGUUUUAUUCAUGACCCCCCCCCUUUGGGGUUUUCUUGGCAAAAAUGCUGGAAUGCUUUGCCAUUUCUUCUCCGGCUCGUUUUACAGAUGAGGAAACUGAGGCAAACAAGAUGAAGGUUCCUUGCCCAGAGUCAUACAGCCAGUAGCGAGUGUCUGAGGCUGCAUUUGGACUCGGGAAGAUGAGGCUUCCUGACUUCAAGCCCCGAACUAUCCACUGCGGCACUUUCUGCUGCCCAUCUAGAGGGGACCAGAGGCUUAAGAUAGUACUUCCAAUGUGAAAUGGAAUCAGACACGAACACAGAAUGAGUCUAGGCUCCAUUUCUUUAACAUCUGCGGAGGUUUCCCCAGCAUGCAGAUUUUAUGGAGAAAAAGGAAGGAACAAGGAAAUAAUAACAGCUAACAUUUAGAUACUGUGUAUCAGGCACGGUACUAAGCACUUUACCAUUAUCUUAUUUGAUCCUCCUGAACAUCAUCUGAUGGGUACUGUUACCAUCCUGAUUUUGACCUGAUUACAAAGUUAAGUGACUUACCCAAGAUCACACAGCUAAUAAGUGUCUCAAACUGAAUUUGAACACAGCUCUUCUGACUCUCCAAACCUGGUAAAGGUAGUCACCAAAGGUCAGAGGCAGGAUUUGAACCCACGACCUCCAACUCCAGAGCCAUCCUAUACUCAUCCAGAGCAUCCAAUGCUCAGCGUCAUGUACAAUGCUAUUUCUCCAGGG
rnacentral:lncRNA from 1 species